rnacentral:misc_RNA from 1 species
GAUGAAGAACGCAGCGAAAUGCGAUAAGUAAUGUGAAUUGCAGAAUUCAGUGAAUCAUCGAAUCUUUGAACGCACAUUGCGCCCGCCAGUAUUCUGGCGGGCAUGCCUGUUCGAGCGUCAUUUCAACCAUCAAGCCCCCGGCUUGUGUUGGGGACCUGCGGCUGCCGCAGGCCCUGAAAACCAGUGGCGGGCUCGCUAGUCACUCCGAGCGUAGUAAUACAUCUCGCUCAGGGCGUGCUGCGGGUUCCGGCCGUUAAAAAGCCUUAUUUACCCAAGGUUGACCUCGGAUCAGGUAGGAAGACCCGCUGAACUUAAGCAUAUCAAUAAGCGGAAGA